rnacentral:rRNA from 1 species
CGGUCCUACGGGAGGCAGCAGUGGGGAAUCCUACGGGAGGCAGCAGUGGGGAAUAUUGCCCAAUGGGGGAAACCCUGACGCAGCAACGCCGCGUGAGUGAUGAAGGCCUUAGGGUUGUAAAGCUCUUCUACUCCGGACAGAUAAUGAGCCGUACCGAGAGGACGGGCGCCCCACGCUAACC